UGCAGUCUCUCCCACCUGACACGCCCAGUAGCUGGCUGUUCUCGAAUCUGUCAGCCCUAGUGCUUGGUGCCUAUGUGAUGGAUCAUCUUCCCUGAGAUAUAUCACCCCAGUUUGCUGGUUGUCAUGGCGAUGCUGCUCAUCUUCUCUUUGGACUUCCAGGUUUCAGGUAAGUGUAGCCCUCGUCCUCAUGGAAGAAACGUCUCUUUGCAAUAGAUGCAGGCCAGUCCAGAAAAUCACAACCAAUCAAAAUGCAGAGGUGUGGAGCCUGCCUUAAUGGAUACAUCUACAAGGCACUCCUGCACCUCAGGCUCAGUGCAUAUAGCAGAGGAGGGGGCAGAAGAGUGUAAGAGGAAGAGGACCAGGAGUUUCUAUAGAUGGUGUGUCCUAACAUCAGGAGCUACAUCAUGAAGUCUCACAGACAUGACUGUGUAAACAAGGACAACAACAGACAUGACAAAGUGGAUGGGGAGAAGAGGAGCCCAUGAGGCCUCAACACCACACAAAGCACUUCAGGUAACUAAGGAAUGCCGAGGGCAGGAAAACCAGUCCUCCCCAGGGAAGAGCACACCAGUUGGUUAUCCAACAGCAAAUGGUCAGCCCUGAAAACCAUUUGGACGUACAAGUAACACUAUAUAGACUAAUCAGGCUGUAUUUAUAUAUUUGGAAAUAUAUAUGUAUGCAUAUACAUACAUGUAUGUAACAAUGAGAAAAGGGACAAGGCUGUGAAUUUGAAAGACAGUAAACAAGGGUUUUGGAAAGGUCUGAAAGGAAGAAAGAGGCAUGGCAAAUGCCAGAUUAUGUUAUAAUCUCAAAGAAGUAUAGAAGGUAACACUCUUCAGGCACAGCUGGUAAUCUCAUCAUGCCUCAUGCUUUUGGAGUUUGGGAAACAUGUAUACCUUUUGCAGAAUUUUUGGGUACUGAGCCA